UCGUUAGCUCAGUUGGUAGAGCAGUUGACUUUUAAUCAAUUGGUCGCAGGUUCGACAAAAUCGCCGGGAGCGAU
rnacentral:tRNA from 1 species